UACGUAGGGUGCGAGCGUUGUCCGGAAUUAUUGGGCGUAAAGGGCUCGUAGGCGGUUUGUCGCGUCGGGAGUGAAAACCUACAGCUUAACUGUGGGCGUGCGGUCGAUACGGGCAUCACUGGAGUUCGGCAGGGGAGACUGGAAUUCCUGGUGUAGCGGUGAAAUGCGCAGAUAUCAGGAGGAACACCGGUGGCGAAGGCGGGUCUCUGGGCAGUAACUGACGCUGAGGAGCGAAAGCGUGGGGAGCGAACAGG
rnacentral:rRNA from 1 species